GUUUGCACUUGUCGGGGAAGGGUGAGAACCUUCGAUUAAGGUUCGACUCGAGCGCAGCGAGAAAGCGUUGCCGCAGGCAACGACCCGAAGGGCGAAGCGCGCAGCGCUGAGUAAUCCUUCCCCCACCACCA
rnacentral:sRNA from 1 species